GGGGAAUAUUGGACAAUGGGCGAAAGCCUGAUCCAGCAAUGCCGCGUGAGUGAUGAAGGCCUUAGGGUUGUAAAGCUCUUUUACCAGGGAUGAUAAUGACAGUACCUGGAGAAUAAGCUCCGGCUAACUCCGUGCCAGCAGCCGCGGUAAUACGGAGGGAGCUAGCGUUGUUCGGAAUUACUGGGCGUAAAGCGCGCGUAGGCGGCUUUGUAAGUUAGAGGUGAAAGCCCGGGGCUCAACCCCGGAACUGCCUUUAAGACUGCAGAGCUAGAGUCUUGGAGAGGUGAGUGGAAUUCCGAGUGUAGAGGUGAAAUUCGUAGAUAUUCGGAAGAACACCAGUGGCGAAGGCGACUCACUGGACAAGUACUGACGCUGGGGUGCGAAAGCGUGGGGAGCAAA
rnacentral:rRNA from 1 species